rnacentral:rRNA from 1 species
UACAGAGGUCUCAAGCGUUGUUCGGAUUCAUUGGGCGUAAAGGGUGCGUAGGCGGCGCGGUAAGUCGGAUGUGAAAUCUCGGAGCUUAACUCCGAAACUGCAUUCGAUACUGCCGUGCUUGAGGACUGGAGAGGAGACUGGAAUUUACGGUGUAGCGGUGAAAUGCGUAGAUAUCUGGAGGAACACCGGUGGCGAAGGCGGCAUCCUGGACCGGCAUUGACGCUGAGGAGCGAAAGCCAGGGGAGCAAAGCGGG